UGUUGAUGGGCUCACAUUAAUGAGAAGCUGAGAGUUUGAGAAAAUAUAUCUUGGAAAUUCACGUGUAUCAACAUGUCAGUUGUCGGUUGUCGGAACCGCUCUAUGCUCUACCCUCUGACCGGAAAAAACCGGCCGUAAGGCGGAAACGGAAAUAGAUUAUGACAAAAUGGUGUACGUGUCCAACGGGCAAGUAGUGGAUAGCAGGAGUCAAGCACCAUGGAGUUUGUCAUCAAUAAUUCAGUUUUUCUGGGGAAUAGUGGAGUUUAUUUCUUUUUUCUUCAGAACAUUGUUCAAUCCAGCUGGAGCAGAAUAUAAAAGAACUGGAAGUCAGUCAUCCUGGGGUAGACCCGACGAUGGAAGAGGCCCUCCAGGAGUUCCACGGAGAAAGAUGGGUCGAAUAAACCAUGGUGGAGGUGGUCCUCCACCACCUCCAAUGUCUGGAGGAUGAGGAAGGUAAACGCCUGCUUUCCAAAGCAGGCGGUUGGACGUGCGUUCACAAGGUGAUGUGCAAGAAUUCCAAGAAGAUGGGAAAGUUGUAAAGACCAGUUUAAAGUAAUAAUGUGAAUGUGCUUGUCCACCCAGAAGAGUUGCUAGGUGUUAAACACACUGAUUAAUGAUGUUGUGCUUAGGAAAACCUGAAUUUAUAGGCACUGGCACAAUUGAAAAGCAACUGUGCAAUGUCUUGUGUUUAAUAAAAUUGACUUUACAAGCAUUCCUUUCAAACUUAUGUUGAAUAAUCCUAUUUUGAACAUUUUUAUUCUUUGGGUCUAUGUACCAAUAAACUAUUUUAAAUGUCUUGUUUCUUAAAUUAAAAUGCCUAGUUUCAAUGGUGGAGUAGAAGCACUUUUUGAUACAAGAGCAAUAUUUGUUUUGGCUAUUCGUUUGAACAUUGGUUUGAUCUUUUCUUUUAUAUUUAAUGAUUUCCUUGUCAAUUUGCUGAAGUUUACAGAAGUAAUAUUCAUUUGCCUAACGUACACAGGUUGUAAAGAAUCAAGUCACAGAAAUCUUUCUUUGAAAAAAGUGGUAUUGGAGUUUAAUCUAAAAAUACACUUUAUUAGUACAGAACAGAGGUAAGAGUUUCUGAUUGGAUCCUUGCUUGCCAUAAGAAUAGUUACUAACUUUUUUUUUUAGGUAGUUAUUGAACAGUCGAGGCUUUAGAUAUGGGUUGGCUUCUUCAAGGACAUGGUGACUGGCACACUUCAUCAUGUUGUUGAAUGUACUGUUACUGUUCCCAGAUCAUGGCAAGGUCAUUGCACCAUUCCCAGUCCCACACUAGUUCCACCGUAUAUCUGCAGAAAGCUGCUUAGUUUAGAAGUUAUCACUACAUAUUUCCAUUACCUGUCAACAAGUAAGCCCGCUCACACAUGUCAUAGUUCCCUCAUUAGCUAUAUAAUUUAUAUUUGUCAACAAUGUGGGAUGGAUCUUUACACAUAUUGUUCUAAUUGUGACAAAUACAAACUCAAUGGAUACUAUGUCAGGUUUUGCCAGGAGAUACACCUAUAGUUAUAGGAAAAGAACUAUGCCAUUUAAUUUCAUAAAUAUGACACUAUUCUGUUCAAUCAUGCUUGAUCUUUUACUUCAAGCUCCAUUGCCCACCUUCUUCGAUAACAUUAGUAUCCUUACCUAACAAAAAUCUACUGUUUUUACAUUUGAAUUGACCCUUUGUCCACUAUCUUUUGAGACAGUGUGUGUAGAAAAUGUGUCCUGAGACCAUAUCUAAAUAGCCAAGCUUAUGGUGUGACAUUAUUGGGAUGGUAAGUAUAAAAUUCAUGUAUUAUUUAUAUAUUUGUCUCUUUUAGCCCAUUUUACAUGACAUUUCUUAUUGAGGAGCUUUUCUUAGAUUCCUUGGAUUUGUUCAUGUGAAACUCCAGAAACAGAACAUUUCUGUUAAAAUUCUCGAAGGAGUAACAAAUUGUCAAAUCUCAAGAUCAGUGUGAUUUUUGUUCAAAUCUCGUCAGCAUAAAAUCUCCAGCAACAGCCUUUUCUGUUCUGCACCAUGAUCAUUGGAGUCUCUAUACCCCCACAUAUCAGCAAAGACACAACUGUCUAUUAUUAUCACCCUCUUUUGAAUCUAUUAGCCAUUCUUUAUCAGAAUCAUAUGCCAACAUUGGAUCAGAUUAUACAAAUAUUAUAAUACCUAGUGUGUUCUCUCUUGCUGUCUCACUCUCUCAUCCCUCCCCGAGCUUCUGGAUAAACAAUAAUUUUCUUGAGUUAAACUUUGGGAGGACUGAGGCUAUUGUCUGUUGGCCUGACCCAAAAUCCAUUGCCUUGUCACAAAGUUCAGUCUCCUGCUAGCUACUUCUCAAGCUGAAUCAAUUUUGGUGCAUUGAUGCCCUAUUUACUCCAGCUGUGCUUCAUGAUUCAAACUCUCCUCAGAAAGAUUGCUGCAAAAAUAUUUUCAUUUAAAAUAUUCCAAUUUAAAAUGUCAGCAGUGUGCUUUGCUUUAGAAUUUUAGCCAGAGGGAACAUUGCUCAUUCAAUGAGGCAAGAUUCAUAGAUUCUUCCAUGUUUCCAAAAUUUGAUAAAUUCCCAGAGAUUAGGAAGCAGUUACCAAGACACCACAUACAGUAGUAAAAGAUACCAGUGCGAUACUGCUACAGCAGUUCAAAGUAAAAAAAGUAUUGAUCAGAUAUUGGGGGAAAAGAUGAUGAACAUGGCUAAAUGCUUCAGUUCAUAGCCUCAGCACAUGUUCUGUGUAGGUGCAGCCUCAGGUAGCCAAGCAGUAUAAGAGAAAUGUGCUCUCAAAUUUAGUUUUCUUGAGACAGGUGGAUUUGCCACUGACCACGCAAGUUCCAAAUCAGAUCAUCUUUAACAACUCAAUCUGUUUUUACUCAAUGCAUCAGUUGCUCACUUUUAAUAUGAUAGAACAGUUGUACAAAAAUACUAAUGUCAAUUAUUGAUUCAAUCAUUUGACAAAAAGUCCACUGUUAACCCCUCCUUUCCUCCCAAGUAACACCCAUCCCUCUAUAUGUGCACAACUGUUGCCGGUUCCUGUAAAUUCAACUAUUUUGAUGUUUUCCUAGCCUAGUGGAUAACCUUUACCCACUACGAACCUCUUGCAAAAUGUAUUUAUCCAACAUCUGCUUCCAAAUUUAUAGUUUUUGUCCCUGUAUUUGAUGUCUUCCUGAUCCUUGCUCUAUCACAUCCAGCUCAACAAUACUCUCAAACGUCUUAUUUCUUUUACUUCUUUGCCUCAAUUAUGUUUACUGCUAUCUGUGAAUUUCCUCAUUUCAGUCCUGGUCUUAAGGACUGGCUUAAACUCCAUCUCAUUUCUGAUGGAUGCCAAGAUCAAAUUGCAUCUUUGAAGAGCCAAGAAUGUCUUUUAAUAUUAGUGGCACAAUGUAAGUCCAAGUUUUUGUUUUUUAUUUUAAACGUAAAUAAAUUGGACUCUAUUUA